rnacentral:rRNA from 1 species
UACGGGGGAGCAAGCGUUGUUCGGAUUUACUGGGCGUAAAGGGCGCGUAGGCGGGCGCAACAAGUCACUUGUGAAAUCUCCGGGCUUAACCCGGAGCGGUCAAGUGAUACUGUCGUGCUAGAGUGGCGGAAGGGGCUACUGGAAUUCGUCGGUGAUAGCGGUGAAAUGCGUAGAUAUCAGGAGGAACACCAAUGGCGAAGGCAGCUCGCUGGAACGGUAACUGA